GGGGAAUAUUGCGCAAUGGGGGAAACCCUGACGCAGCAACGCCGCGUGGGUGAAGAAGGCCUUCGGGUUGUAAAGCUCUGUCUUCUGGGACGAUAAUGACGGUACCAGAGGAGGAAGCCACGGCUAACUACGUGCCAGCAGCCGCGGUAAUACGUAGGUGGCAAGCGUUGUCCGGAUUUACUGGGCGUAAAGGGAGCGUAGGCGGAUAUUUAAGUCAGAUGUGAAAUACCCGAGCUUAACUUGGGUGCUGCAUUUGAAACUGGAUAUCUGGAGUGCAGGAGAGGAAAGUGGAAUUCCUAGUGUAGCGGUGAAAUGCGUAGAGAUUAGGAAGAACACCAGUGGCGAAGGCGACUUUCUGGACUGUAACUGACGCUGAGGCUCGAAAGCGUGGGGAGCAAAC
rnacentral:rRNA from 1 species